GCUGAAGAGAGUUCAGCAGUCCAAUAACGCCCAGUUCUUAGAUUCUAACAACAAGGAGGAUGAUAUCUAUGACUUUUCAUCAAAUAACCUGGGCUAUUAACACAGGAUAGAUAUAACAAAUACCCAGUAACCUGAGUUAUUAAAACUGGAUACAACAGAUGAGUGUGAGAGAGAUACACGAUUCCCAGAAUGCAGUAUUAAAACAAAAUCCUUUCAAAUUCAUCAGGAGAAUAAAUUUUCAUCCAUUUGGUUAAAAAUAGUGAAGAAUGACCUUUUUUUUUUUUCCAAACAUGUAUACUUCUUAUUUGGAACAAAGAAAUGCUUAUUUUUUUUUUUUUACAAAAAAAAAUAAUCAUGUAAAAUAUAAAAUGAUAAAUAUAUUCCUCAGGUAAUGUUAUGAAUUCAUUAUUAGAAUUUUGCAAAGUGUAAAGACAUCUACAUUAAGCUAAAGAUUGGUCAUUCAGUACAUUUGAAUUUUACUUAGCACAGUAGUCUCCAUGGCAACUGUCUCCCUCUUCAUCAACAGCUGUAGGUGUUAUUGUCACUGUGAUAGAACAAUCAGUUUUGUUUUCCUUACAUUUGAGGAAGACACAUCCUUUCAUUGCUAGAUUUAUACAUGUAUCUAGAUCUUCAGGAGCCAGACAAAGUCACAAACCCUCUUUCCCCAAAAGUUGUUCCUCCUUGCUAUAGUUUACAUCUUCAUAUUUUUAAAGUGGAUUUUUGCAAUUUCUUAUUUUUAUUACUGUCGUUAAUGAUGACAUUCGAUGCUUGAUUGAAAGUGCUCUUUCAUUGAUGAUCAAAACAAAAUUGUGGGCAUCAAAAAAAUCUGUUAUAUGUUUGUUGAAAAAUCUUGCAAACUGUUAAUGUAAUCUUUCAUCUUCAGUAUGCAUUGUAUGGCAAUUUACUCACUGGUUGGACUUGUGAAGUCUUGUUAGAUGCUUUUAUCUUUGAAGAAAUACUAUGCAGCUGUGUUUUUAUGAAUUUAUGUCCAUGUUAAAUGAAAUCAUGUAGGAUUUGAUUCUCUAUGCAUCUCCACAUCAUAUUUAUUAGCAAUAGUUUCAGUCAUGGGCCCUUCUCAUUCCAAAUUGUCUUGAAAAAUGUUAAGUGCCCAAUUAUUUAUUUAUUGACAUCUGUUUCAUUGUGCUGUGACAUACAUGUACAUGUAUAUGUCAAUCUAUUUUGUUUUUAUUGAAACAAAUUAUAAUAAAUAUUACAUAUUG
rnacentral:misc_RNA from 1 species